UUUGAGGAUUUGAUCCUGGUCCAGGAUGAACGCUGGCGGCGUGCCUUAGGCAUGCAAGUAAAGCGGGUCCCGAGAGCAAUCGAGGGACAAGCUGCGAACGGCUGAGUAUAAGAUAGGAAUCUACCCUUUGGCGGGGAAUACCCACUCGAAAGAGUGGCUAAUACCGCAUAAGACUUUACAGUGAAAGCGCUUAACUGCGCACCGAAGGAUGAGCCUAUCUCCCAUCAGCUUGUUGGUAGGGUAAUGGCCUACCAAGGCUACGACGGGUAGGGGACGUGAGAGCGUGACCCCCCAGAACGGGACUGAGACACGGCCCGUACACCUACGGGUGGCAGCAACCGGGAAUCGUGCGCAAUGGACGAAAGUCUGACGCCGCGACGCCGCGUGAGGGAUGAAGGCCUUCGGGUUGUAAACCUCUUUUGUUUCGUCGGAGACGACGAGAAGAAUAAGCACCUGCUAACUCUGUGCCAGCAGCCGCGGUAAUACAGAGGGUGCAAGCGUUAUCCGGAUUUAUUGGGCGUAAAGCGUUUCGUAGGCGGUAAGGUAAGUUACACUUCAAAGGCCAGGGCUUAACCUUGGAAAGGGGUGUAAUACUGUCUUACUUGAAAUGUUUCGGGGUUAUCGGAACUCUCGGUGUAGGGGUGAAAUCCGUUGAUAUCGAGAGGAACACCAAGGGCGAAGGCAGAUAACUAGGAACCUUUUGACGCUGAGGAACGACAGCUAGGGGAGCGAAUGGGAUUAGAGACCCCAGUAGUCCUAGCCGUAAACUUUGCUCGCUAGUCCCCUCGGUUUUUCCGAGAGGGCGUAAGCUAACGCGUUAAGCGAGCCGCCUGGGGAGUACGGCCGCAAGGCUAAAACUCAAAGGAAUUGACGGGAACCUGCACAACCAGUGGAGCAUGUGGUUUAAUUCGAGACGAACCGAAGAACCUUACCAGGCUUUGACAUGCUACCGUUUUAACUUUCCAGAAAUGGAGAGCUAUCCGUAAGGAUGGUAGCACAGGUGUUGCAUGGCCGUCGUCAGCUCGUGCCGUGGGGUGUUCCCUUCAGUGGGGUAACGAGCGCAACCCCUGCCAAAUGUUGAAUAUUCAUUUGGGACUGUCCGAUUUUUUAUCAGACGGAAGUGGGGACGACGUCAGGUCAGCAUGGCCCUUAUAGCCUGGGCGACACACAUGCUACAAUGGAGCCGACAAUGGGUUUUGCCAAGCCGUAAGGCGGAGCUAAUCCCAUCAAACGGCUUCUCAGUGGGGAUUGAGGGCUGCAACUCGCCCUCAUGAACGCGGAAUUGGUAGUAAUCGCGGAUCAGCUAUGCCGCGGUGAAUACGUUCUCAGGUUUUGUACA
rnacentral:rRNA from 1 species